UCGUGUUGGGAAAUGUGUCCCAAAAAGCCAAUCGUCAAGCUGUUGACGGUUGAGCAACCAAGUAUUGUAAUUAAUUUGUUAAUAAAUAAAAUAUAUUUGACAUUUUCAUCAUAAACUUUCAUCUUCUAAUGAACUCCAUUGUUAUGAUGAAGUCCUUAGGACUAUUUAGGUUCGAUAAAGAGAGGAUUUAUCGAUUAAUCCUUAAAACUGUUCACGACCAAAUGAUAGGCUGUUAAUAAGGACGACAGCUUCUAUCGAGCAUAGGUCGCUGUAGGCCAUAUGGGUUGGUUGUCCUCUUAACCAAAGAGUGUGGAGACACUGGUAUAGCAUACAGGUGAGAUGUAAGGAUACAUCGUCAUUGAACGUGACCAACUCCAGAGUAUUCUACUGUCGAGAAUGUCUCUAAUGGGAUAUAGGUAUAAGUGUCCCUUAGACUUGAGAUUGCCUCAGUGACUUGCAAGCAACUCACUGUGCUUUGGUACUGGACUAACUGAAUUUCUAAUUCAGGGAUGGAAGGCUUCUGGGCACAGUCAAGUACUUGCGAAGUCAGAGUGUGAUCGAGAUGGGAUUGACCACUCCAAGAGUUGGAGAAAAAUGAGUCACUGUAUUUCAAUUUAGCAAAUCCUUAGCCAGGGUAAUCCAUCAGAUGGAUUUGAUAUUUUAAAAUACAAUGUGGACAACCUGAUCAGAGUUGACAGUUGAACUCUGGGGUGUCCUAUGAUCAUUUUGGUCAAGGGGAUGAAUUAUAUGAAAACUAUAUUCGCAUGGGUUCUAAGGAUGUUGUUCUAC
rnacentral:lncRNA from 1 species